AUACGAAGGGAGCUAGCGUUAUUCGGAAUCACUGGGCGUAAAGCGCGUGUAGGCGGCUUGGAAAGUCAGGUGUGAAAGCCCGGGGCUCAACCCCGGAACUGCAUUUGAAACUAUCAGGCUAGUAUCAGCUAGAGGGUGGUGGAAUUCCACGUGUAGAGGUGAAAUUCGUAGAUAUGUGGAGGAACACCAGUGGCGAAGGCGACCACCUGGGGCUGUAUAGACGCUGAGACGCGAAAGCGUGGGGAGCAAACAGGAUUAGAAACCCGAGUAGUCC
rnacentral:rRNA from 1 species